AGUGAACGCUGGCGGUAGGCCUAACACAUGCAAGUCGAACGGCAGCACAGUAAGAGCUUGCUCUUACGGGUGGCGAGUGGCGGACGGGUGAGGAAUACAUCGGAAUCUACUUUUUCGUGGGGGAUAACGUAGGGAAACUUACGCUAAUACCGCAUACGACCUACGGGUGAAAGCAGUGGAUCUUCGCACCUUGCGCGAUUGAAUGAGCCGAUGUCGGAUUAGCUAGUUGGCGGGGUAAAGGCCCACCAAGGCGACGAUCCGUAGCUGGUCUGAGAGGAUGAUCAGCCACACUGGAACUGAGACACGGUCCAGACUCCUACGGGAGGCAGCAGUGGGGAAUAUUGGACAAUGGGCGCAAGCCUGAUCCAGCAAUACCGCGUGGGUGAAGAAGGCCUUCGGGUUGUAAAGCCCUUUUGUUGGGAAAGAAAAGCAGCAGGUUAAUACCCCGAUGUUCUGACGGUACCCAAAGAAUAAGCACCGGCUAACUUCGUG
rnacentral:rRNA from 1 species